UCCUCAUAGUUCAUUUGGUAAAGAAUCUGCCUGCAAUGCAGGAGACCUGGGUUCGAUUCCUGGGUCAGGAA
rfam:TPA: Bos taurus chromosome 9, whole genome shotgun sequence.